UUGCAUCUUGCUGACAGGACC
rnacentral:misc_RNA from 1 species